rnacentral:lncRNA from 1 species
CCUUCGUACUUACGCACACAAAGAACAAACACUGUUGGCUGUUUCCACUUUUCUCAACUUUGGAACUUUCGUUACAUCUGCAUUGGCAUACAACCCAGAUAAUCAACAAAGAAUAAAGAAGCUUAAAAGACGUCACAAGAUCGAUGACUCUUCGGUGUUUGGGAAAGUUCUAAUGACGAUUUUGGUGCGACACCUCGUUAACGUAAUUCUGAAAUCAAAACUUCUAUUAGAUGACAUCCCACGGCUUACUAGUCACCUCGUGUGCUGCCCUAAAAGCGAGAAUGAUUCUGCG